rnacentral:tRNA from 1 species
CCCUGGGUGGUGUAAACGGUUAAAGUGUUUGGCUGCUAACCAAAAGGCUGGUGGUUUGAACCCACUCAGGGA